rnacentral:rRNA from 1 species
GUGUCAGCAGCCGCGGUAAGACAGAGGGUGCAAACGUUGCUCGGAAUCACUGGGCGUAAAGGGCGUGUAGGCGGGCAGAUAAGUCGGGCGUGAAAUCCCCAGGCUCAACCUGGGAACUGCACUCGAAACUGUUUGUCUUGAGUAUCGGAGAGGAAAGCGGAAUACCUGGUGUAGAGGUGAAAUUCGUAGAUAUCAGGUGGAACACCAGUGGCGAAGGCGGCUUUCUGGACGAUAACUGACGCUGAGACGCGAAAGCGUGGGGAGCAAACAGGAUUAGAAACCCCCGUAGUCC